rnacentral:rRNA from 1 species
GACGAACGCUGGCGGCGUGCCUAAUACAUGCAAGUAGAACGCUGAAGGAGGAGCUUGCUUCUCUGGAUGAGUUGCGAACGGGUGAGUAACGCGUAGGUAACCUGCCUGGUAGCGGGGGAUAACUAUUGGAAACGAUAGCUAAUACCGCAUAAGAGUAGAUGUUGCAUGACAUUUGCUUAAAAGGUGCAAUUGCAUCACUACCAGAUGGACCUGCGUUGUAUUAGCUAGUUGGUGGGGUAACGGCUCACCAAGGCGACGAUACAUAGCCGACCUGAGAGGGUGAUCGGCCACACUGGGACUGAGACACGGCCCAGACCCCUACGGGAGGCAGCAGGAGGGAAUCUUCGGCAAUGGACGGAAGUCUGACCGAGCAACGCCGCGGGAGUGAAGAAGGGUUUCGGAUCGUAAAGCUCUGUUGUAAGAGAAGAACGAGGGUGAGAGUGGAAAGUUCACACUGUGACGGUAGCUUACCAGAAAGGGACGGCUAACUACGUG